rnacentral:rRNA from 1 species
UCGAACGGAAAUUGUGUCUAGCACAAAGUUAAUUAUUUCUUGUUCCCCUUGUUAUGCCCAAGCAUAUGUCGGUUUAUUUUUAUUUAUUGACUAUUUUGGCGUAUAACAAGUGUGGAGCAAUGAUUCUAAUUAAUUUCGUGCUAGGCAUGAAAUCAGUGGCGGACGGGUGAGUAUAAGCAAGGAACGUACCCUUUACUGUGGCAUAGCUCGUCGAAAGACGGGGUAAUAUCGCAUGACCCUUCACGGGGAAAGAAGCUAACCCUUCGGUAAAGGAGCGGCCUUGUUCCUAUCAGCUAGUUGGUGGGGUAAUGGCCUACCAAGGCUCUGACGGGUAGGGGGCGUGAGAGCGCGACCCCCCACAAUGGCACUGAGACACGGGCCAUACAUCUACGGAUGGCAGCAACUGGGAAUCGUUGGCAAUGGACGAAAGUCUGACCACGCGACGCCGCGUGAGGGAUGAAGUAUUUCGGUAUGUAAACCUCUUUUACGAAGUCGUCAUGGCUUCGAGAAUAAGCAUCUACUAACUACGUGCCAGCAGUCGCGGUAAUACGUAGGGUGCAAGCGUUAUCCGGAUUCACUGGGCGUAAAGGGUCGUGUAGGUGGUUUAUCGCAUCGUGCUUGAAAGCCCGAGGCUCAACCUCGGCGUUGGGCACGAGAUGGAUAGACUAGAGGGAGGUAGAGGAAAGGGGAACUCAUGGUGGAGCAGUGAAAUGCGUUGAUAUCAUGAGGAACACCA